rnacentral:rRNA from 1 species
GUAGGUGGCAAGCGUUGUCCGGGAAUUAUUGGGGCGUAAAGCGCGCGCAGGCGGUUCUUUAAGUCUGAUGUGAAAGCCCACGGGCUCAACCGUGGAGGGUCAUUGGAAACUGGAGAACUUGAGUACAGAAGAGGAAAGCGGAAUUCCACGUGUAGCGGUGAAAUGCGUAGAGAUGUGGAGGAACACCAGUGGCGAAGGCGGCUUUCUGGUCUGUAACUGACGCUGAGGCGCGAAAGCGUGGGGAGCAAACAGGAUUAGAUACCCUGGUAGUCCACGCCGUAAACGAUGAGUGCUAAGUGUUAGGUGGUUUCCGCCCCUUAGUGCUGCAGCUAACGCAUUAAGCACUCCGCCUGGGAGUACGGCCGCAAAGGCUG